UCAAGCGUCUCAAGGGCGUUUGGUGGAUGCCUUGGCAUCGAGAGGCGAUGAAGGACGUAAUACGUUGCGAAAAGCUUUGGGGAGCUGCGAAUAAGCUUUGAUCCAGAGAUUUCCGAAUGGGAAAACCCGACCCUUUAGGGUCAUCGUUGUAUAAAUGCAUAAAGCAACGAAGCAAACCCGGUGAACUGAAAUAUCUAAGUAACCGGAGGAAAGGACAUCAACCGAGACUCCGUUAGUAGUGACGAGCGAACGCGGACCAGGCCAGUGGCAAUUGCAAGAAAACGGGAACUUUCUGGAAAGUUAGGCCAUAGUAGGUGAUAGCCCAGUACCGGUAUUGCUUGUUUUUGCCCGUGAGUAGAUCGAGGCACGUGAAACCUUGAUUGAAUAUGGGGGGACCACCCUCCAAGCCUAAGUACUCCUCGAUGACCGAUAGUGAACUAGUACCGUGAGGGAAAGGUGAAAAAUAUCCCGAUAAGGGAAGUGAAAUAGAUCUGAAACUGAACGCCUACAAGCAGUGGGAGCCUCUUUAAGAGGUGACCGCGUACCUUUUGUAUAAUGGGUCAGCGAGUUAAUUUGACGAGCAAGCUUAAGCCGUUAGGUGCAGGCGUAGCGAAAGCGAGUCUUAAUUAGGGCGUUAAGUUCGUUGGAUUAGACCCGAAACUGAGUGAUCUAGCUAUGGGCAGGUUGAAGGUGCGGUAACACGCACUGGAGGACCGAACCCACGUCUGUUGAAAAAGGCGGGGAUGACCUGUGGCUAGGGGUGAAAGGCCAAUCAAACUCAGAAAUAGCUGGUUCUCCGCGAAAGCUAUUUAGGUAGCGCGUUGCGUGAUUACCGUCGGGGGUAGAGCACUGGAUAAGCUAGGGGGUGCGAACCUUACCAAACCUAACCAAACUCCGAAUACCGACGAGUAUAAUGCAGCAGACAGUCCAUGGGUGCUAAGGUCCGUGGACGAGAGGGAAACAGCCCAGACCUCCAGCUAAGGCCCCUAAGUGGCAGCUAAGUGGGAAAGGAUGUGGGAAGGCCAAGACAACCAGGAAGUUGGCUUAGAAGCAGCCAUCCUUUAAAGAAAGCGUAAUAGCUCACUGGUCUAAAUAAGCCCGCCUGCGCCGAAGAUGUACCGGGGCUCAAGCGGCCCGCCGAAGCUGAGGAUUCAGUUGAUACAAGAACUGAAUGGUAGCGGAGCGUUCCGUAAGCCUGCGAAGGGAUUUUGUAAAAAGUCCUGGAGGUAUCGGAAGUGAGAAUGCUGACAUGAGUAGCGACAAAGAGUGUAAGAAACACUCUCGCCGUAAGUCUAAGGGUUCCUGCGCAAGGUUAAUCCGCGCAGGGUUAGUCGGCCCCUAAGAUGAGGGUGAAAACCGUAAUCGAUGGGAAUUAGGUUAAUAUUCCUAAACCUGGUGGUAGUGACGGAUGCUGAAAAUGGUUUUUUCUUAUUGGAUUGAAAGAGCUGUCUAAGUGUUCCAGGAAAUAGCUCCACCUUUAAUAGACCGUACCCAAAACCGACACAGGUAGACUGGUAGAGAAUACCGAGGCGCUUGAGAGAACUAUGUUGAAGGAACUCGGCAAAAUGCCCUCGUAACUUAGGGAUAAGGGGGACCUUUUAUUGGGCAACCAGUGGAGGGUGGCACAGACUAGGGGGUAGCGACUGUUUACUAAAAACACAGGACUCUGCUAAGUCUUCCAGACGAAGUAUAGGGUCUAACGCCUGCCCGGUGCCGGAAGGUUAAGAGGAGAGGUGCAAGCUUUGAAUUGAAGCCCCGGUAAACGGCGGCCGUAACUAUAACGGUCCUAAGGUAGCGAAAUUCCUUGUCGGGUAAGUUCCGACCUGCACGAAUGGCGUAACGACUUCCCCGCUGUCUCCAACAUAGACUCAGCGAAAUUGAAUUCUCCGUGAAGAUGCGGAGUACCCACGGUCAGACGGAAAGACCCCGUGCACCUUUACUACAACUUUGUAGUGAAAUUAGAAGAUUAAUGUGUAGGAUAGGCGGGAGGUUAUGAAGCACAGGCGCUAGUUAGUGUGGAGCCGACCUUGAAAUACCGCCCUUUAAUUUUUUGAUUUCUAACCGAGAUCCGUUAUCCGGAUCCGGGAUCCUGCAUGGUGGGUAGUUUGACUGGGGCGGUCGCCUCCUAAAGAGUAACGGAGGCGCGCGAUGGUAGGCUCAGGCUGGUCAGAAAUCAGCCGUUGAGUGCAAUGGCACAAGCCUGCCUGACUGCGAGGCUGACGGGCCGAGCAGAGACGAAAGUCGGUCAUAGUGAUCCGGUGGUACCGCGUGGAAGGGCCAUCGCUCAACGGAUAAAAGGUACGCCGGGGAUAACAGGCUGAUACCCCCCAAGAGUCCACAUCGACGGGGGUGUUUGGCACCUCGAUGUCGGCUCAUCACAUCCUGGGGCUGUAGCUGGUCCCAAGGGUUCGGCUGUUCGCCGAUUAAAGUGGUACGUGAGCUGGGUUUAGAACGUCGUGAGACAGUUCGGUCCCUAUCUGCCGUGGGUGUUCGAGACUUGAGAGGAGCUGUCCCUAGUACGAGAGGACCGGGAUGGACACACCUCUGGUGGACCGGUUGUGGCGCCAGCCGCAUCGCCGGGUAGCUAUGUGUGGAAAGGAUAACCGCUGAAAGCAUCUAAGCGGGAAGCCUCACUCAAAACUAGGUCUCGCUUGAGAACCGUGGAAGACUACCACGUAGAUAGGCUGGGUGUGGAAGCGUGCUAACACGUGAAGCUAACCAGUACUAAUCGUUCGAUUGGCUUGAUCGAUCA
rnacentral:rRNA from 2 species